rnacentral:rRNA from 1 species
GACAGAGGGGGCAAGCGUUGCUCGGAAUCACUGGGCGUAAAGGGCGCGUAGGCGGGAUGGCAAGUCGGUCGUGAAAUCUCUCGGCUCAACCGAGAAACGUCGGCCGAUACUGCCGUUCUUGAGGGAUGCAGAGGAGACUGGAAUUCCCGGUGUAGCGGUGAAAUGCGCAGAUAUCAGGAGGAACACCAAUGGCGAAGGCAGCUCGCUGGGACGUGACUGACGCUGAGACGCGAAAGCGUGGGGAGCAAACAGG